rnacentral:rRNA from 1 species
AUUGAACGCUGGCGGCAGGCCUAACACAUGCAAGUCGAACGAGUGGCGGACUGGUGAGUAAUGUCUUGGAAUCUGGCUGAUGUAGGGGGAUAACUACUGGAAACGUUAGCUAAUACCGCUUACCAUCGGAUGUGCCCACGUGGUAUUAGGUAGUUGGUGUGGUAAAGGCUCACCUAGGCGACGCUCCCUAGCUGGUCUGAGAGGAUGACCGGCCACACUGGGACUGAGACACGGCCCAGACUCCUACGGGAGGCAGCAGUAGGGAAUAUUGCGCAAUGGGCGCAACCCUGAUGCAGCCAUGCCGCGUGAAUGAAGAAGGCCUUCGGGUUGUAAAGUUCUGUCGGUAGAGAGGCGUUAUCUACAGAAGAAGCCCCGGCUAACGCCGUGCCAGCCGCCGCGGUAAUAC